UAGUGAUUAGGAGUGUCGCGACGGAGAGCGUCGAAGGAAAGGAGUGAGACUGCCUGGAGUGUCCGUCGGUGCAAGUCUGGGUGGCAGUAGUUAAUACGCAAUCGAGAACUUUUAGGACGGUUCAAUUGGGACAUUUUUCGAAUGUGGGUGGCCUUUAGGGAUCGCAGCGAUCCAUUUCGAAGGGGAUACCUUAUGGAUUAUCCGAUGACGACCAAAAGGAAACAAGAUUUAAAAAUCUGGAAAAAGUUAAUAGGACAUACGGCCAUGAGUGCGGUAACGCAAACGAUAUCGGAUACGCCCAUAAAGGAACCGGGGGGGAAUAUUUUUCGAUAGGAGUUCGAUUGUUCCUAGAUGAGUGUCUUACGGAGAUAGAAACGUGGUAUCGAAAGAGCAUUUCAUAUCAACCCUUUCAAAUUUUUCCAAAGGAGAGAAUGUCAUUUUCAUGCCAAUCCGUCUCGCAGCAGGUCUCCAAGGUGAACCGCCUCUAGUCGAUAGAACAAUUUUGAUAAAGAAAGUCUGCAGUUUCGAUCCGUUACUUCCGGAUAAAGUUUGGCUCUGAAGGUAGAGCUGCGGUAGGAAGCGCUGAGUUUCACUCGUGCGGACUGGGAGGUAGGUCCAUCCUCGCGUGGGAAUAUGGCGCAGAAUGGAUCAGCUAGGUGGUGGAUUCGGAUCGAGCGUGCGGGAUCGUUUCGCGGGCGCUUGACGGCCGACUCGGAACUGGCACGAGCUAGGGGAAUCGGAUUGUCUUAAUUAAAGCACUACUAUUAGUGUUUAUGCUAUGUGAUUUGUGUCCAGUGCUCUGAAAGUCAGGAUGAAGAAAUUCAUCGAAAUUCGAAUAAACGGCGAGAGUAACUGUGA